UCUAAAUGUAUUUAAUAGUUGAAGCUACCUUCUUUUUCUGGUGUUGUGUUUAAGCUUUGAGCAAAAACCAGAAGGCUGCUUCAAACUAUCUGAAACUUGCUUCAAGCUUGCUGAAAGUCACAGUUAAAGAAGAAUUUUGUUGUCACUUCUGUUUGAGACAGAACCCGGGCUGUGGUCGGAGUAGGAGGUGAGCUACUGGCUGGACUCGGUUUGCAAAGUCUGAAACCAGAUCUGAGGAGCUUGCCAGGGGCCAAACUCUUGGUCAGGGAAAUGCUUCUGGAGUUUUUACUGACCAUGGUGAAUAGCAUUGUGGACAACCAAGAGGAACCACUGGAGCAUGGCCAGUAAGAAUGAUGCAUGUUGGGACGGUGCUGGAGAAUGGGCACGAUUGUUCGGCACUGUCCGUGGGGCGGCGCAGGUCACAUGAACAAGCACAGAACGGGCAAACGUUUUACACCUUUUCUAAUGGUACUAGAGGCAGAGUCACAUGCCCGCAACUGAAGCUUUUAUGUUUGGAUGCCAUUACAGUAACGGACCAGAGCUCC